GCUAACUACGUGCCAGCAGCCGCGGUAAGACGUAGGGGGCGAGCGUUGUCCGGAAUUACUGGGCGUAAAGAGCACGUAGGCGGAUGGUUAAGUCAGGUGUGAAAGACCGCAGCCUAACUGCGGGGUUGCACAUGAAACUGGUCAUCUUGAGGGCAGGAGAGGGCAGUAGAAUUCCUGGUGUAGCGGUGAAAUGCGUAGAAAUCAGGAGGAAUACCAGUGGCGAAGGCGACUGUCUGGACUGACCCUGACGCUGAGGUGCGAAAGCGUGGGUAGCAAACAGGAUUAGAUACCCCGGUAGUC
rnacentral:rRNA from 1 species